UACGUAGGGCGCGAGCGUUGUCCGGAUUUAUUGGGCGUAAAGAGCUCGUAGGCGGCUUGUCGCGUCGGCUGUGAAAUCCCGUGGCUCAACUGCGGGCUUGCAGCCGAUACGGGCAGGCUAGAGUUCGGUAGGGGAGACUGGAAUUCCUGGUGUAGCGGUGAAAUGCGCAGAUAUCAGGAAGAACACCCGUGGCGAAGGCGGUUCUCUGGGACGGUACUGACGCUGAGACGCGAAAGCGUGGGGAGCGAACAGG
rnacentral:rRNA from 1 species